AAUCCAUAGGUUAAUGAGGCGAACCGGGGGAACUGAAACAUCUAAGUACCCCGAGGAAAAGAAAUCAACCGAGAUUCCCCCAGUAGCGGCGAGCGAACGGGGAGGAGCCCAGAGCCUGAAUCAGCAUGUGUGUUAGUGGAAGCGUCUGGAAAGGCGCGCGAUACAGGGUGACAGCCCCGUACACAAAAGCGCAUGUGCUGUGAGCUCGAUGAGUAGGGCGGGACACGUGGUAUCCUGUCUGAAUAUGGGGGGACCAUCCUCCAAGGCUAAAUACUCCUGACUGACCGAUAGUGAACCAGUACCGUGAGGGAAAGGCGAAAAGAACCCCGGCGAGGGGAGUGAAAAAGAACCUGAAACCGUGUACGUACAAGCAGUGGGAGCACAGGUUUACCUGUGUGACUGCGUACCUUUUGUAUAAUGGGUCAGCGACUUAUAUUCUGUAGCAAGGUUAACCGUAUAGGGGAGCCGGAGGGAAACCGAGUCUUAAC
rnacentral:rRNA from 6 species